GACAGAGGCCUCAAGCGUUAGGCGGAAUCACUGGGCUUAAAGCGUGUGUAGGCGGAUCGUUAAGUGUCUUGUGAAUCCCACGGCUCACCCGUGGAACUGCUGGGCAUACUGGCGAUCUUGGGCCAACUAGGGGCAACUGGAACAAGCGGUGGAGCGGUGAAAUGCGUAGAUAUCGCUUGGAACGCCAACGGUGAAACAGGUGCUGGGUUGUGCCGACGCUGAGACACGAAAGCCAGGGAGCAAACGGG
rnacentral:rRNA from 1 species